UGCAUCAGCCGUGAAUCGAACACGGGGCCCAUCGAAUCAGACGUUUCGAAGCGCUUUUAGGCGCUCGCAAACGUUGCUGGCAACGAUGGAUUUUACCACUAAACCACUAAUGC
rnacentral:tRNA from 1 species